ensembl:misc_RNA Metazoa_SRP Metazoan signal recognition particle RNA
GCCGGGUGUGGUGGCUCACACCUGUAAUCCUAGCACUUUGGGAGGCCAAGGCGGGUGGAUCACCUGAGGCCAGGAGUUCGAGACCAGCCUGGCCAACAUGGUGAAACCCUGUCUCUA